rnacentral:rRNA from 1 species
GAUGAACGCUGGCGGCGUGCUUAACACAUGCAAGUCGAACGGGAUCCCAGGAGCUUGCUCCUGGGUGAGAGUGGCGAACGGGUGAGUAAUGCGUGACCGACCUGCCCCAUACACCGGAAUAGCUCCUGGAAACGGGUGGUAAUGCCGGAUGCUCCAGUUGACCGCAUGGUCCUCUGGGAAAGCUUUUGCGGUAUGGGAUGGGGUCGCGUCCUAUCAGCUUGAUGGCGGGGUAACGGCCCACCAUGGCUUCGACGGGUAGCCGGCCUGAGAGGGCGACCGGCCACAUUGGGACUGAGAUACGGCCCAGACUCCUACGGGAGGCAGCAGUGGGGAAUAUUGCACAAUGGGCGCAAGCCUGAUGCAGCGACGCCGCGUGCGGGAUGACGGCCUUCGGGUUGUAAACCGCUUUUGACUGGGAGCAAGCCCUUCGGGGUGAGUGUACCUUUCGAAUAAGCACCGGCUAA